AACGAACGCUGGCGGCAGGCUUAACACAUGCAAGUCGAACGGUGUAGCAAUACACAGUGGCAGACGGGUGAGGAACACGUGGGAACAUCCCUUUCGGUUCGGAAUAACGUUGGGAAACUAACGCUAAUACCGGAUACGUCCUUCGGGAGAAAGAUUUAUUGCCGAGAGAUUGGCCCGCGUCUGAUUAGCUAGUUGGUGAGGUAACGGCUCACCAAGGCUACGAUCAGUAGCUGAUCUGAGAGGAUGAUCAGCCACAUUGGGACUGAGACACGGCCCAAACUCCUACGGGAGGCAGCAGUGGGGAAUAUUGGACAAUGGGCGCAAGCCUGAUCCAGCCAUGCCGCGUGAGUGAUGAAGGCCUUCGGGUUGUAAAGCUCUUUUAUCAGGGAAGAAUUAGUGACGUUACCUAAUGAAUAAGCAACUGCUAACUUCGUGCCAGCAGCCGCCGUAA
rnacentral:rRNA from 1 species